ensembl:lncRNA
AAAACACACUUGUCUGCUGGCAAUUCUAUUUCAAAGCCUCUCAACAACUCUGAUCCUUUUGCGGCAUUCUGUCCUUAUCUGAAAGUUGGCAAAUUCCAAUUGAGACUUCUAAAAGCAUAUGACAGUUCACAGAGAAACAAAAGGGGCAAUCCCUUGUAAAAAUGUCUUUGAUGACCAGGAGGUUUCUCACAGGUUAAUGUACCUAAAGUGUUCUAGAGGUAAAUGCAAAUGGAGAGAAGCUCAUGUUACUCAGUAUAGAUCAAAGUCAGUGAAUGAAGGAGGUUGCAACAAGAUUCCUGGACUUUGACCGACAAUCAGAGAAUCAAUGGCUAUGUCCAAAAAAGUCCGUCCACUGAAUGCUAAGAUCUACUGCAGUAGAGACAAAGUACUUAUGGUGCAGUUUGGAUUCUGCAUUUUCUUCAAGAACCAGAAAAAAAGCACCUGUGAUCUUGUCUACUUGUCUAACAGAUUUACAGCUACUGGAAUUAAACUUGUGAUUGUCUUAGUUAAUAGCACUAAGGGUGACAAUUCGUUUAUACCUAAUGGUAGAAUGUUCAAAUAAUUGAUGUUAGAUAAAAAUUAUACUGAAGAAUAAUUUCUUAAUUCUUUCUCUCCUUUUUCUCUGCUUAAAAACAAAUUGCUCUUAAGUAUCAAAUUGUUCUAUUUGGAAGAAAUAAAUGUGUGUUUUAUGUUUUAAUAUUGUAAAAACCCAGUCUUCCGGGAAUCAUUUUGAAGCAGACAGAUGUGAGUGAUUAUAUUCUAUAGGUCACUAAAAAUUCAUCUCAAUAAAUAUAAAAUACAAAUCUGGGAAUAUCUCCAAAUGUUUUCCCCAGUAGCUGACUGUUUCUGGCAUUCUCUAUUAUAUAAGAUGGGAAGAGGAUAAUAUUCCUCACUUUUGUUUCCAAAGGAGGAAAGAAUGUUCAGAAUGAAGAUGUGAUGUGCAGUGCAUUACCCUGAAUCAUUAAGAGAUUAAGUUCUGAGUUAGUGCAAUACAUACAUUCACAUAAUUUAAUCAAUAUAGAUUAUACACAUUUACAAACUUACAAGUAAAUUAGAAGUUCCUGAGUGCAACUAAUGUAUCAGAAGCAUGUAAUGAUGUAAAAACCU